UGCAGAAUCCCGUGAACCAUCGAGUUUUUGAACGCAAGUUGCGCCCGAAGCCAUUAGGCCAAGGGCACGUCUGCCUGGGCGUCACGCAUAGCGUCGUCCCCCCACCCCUGUGGUGUCGGGGCGGAAAAUGGCAUCCCGUGGUCUGUCGCGGCCUGCCUAAACCCGUGUCCCUCGUCGCGGACGUCACGACAAGUGGUGGUUGAAAUCCUCAACUCGAAUGCGAGUCGUGCGCACCUCGUGGCUGAGACGACACGUAAUAGACCCUGAGACGAUGAACCCCYUCCGAGGGAGGAGCAUUCGUCACGACCGCGACCCCAGGUCAGGCGGGGCUACCCGCUGAGUUUAAGCAUAUCAAUAAGCGGAGGAAAAGAAACUAACAAGGAUUCCCUUAGUAACGGCGAGCGAACCGGGAACAGCCCAAGCUUAGAAUCGGGCGGCUUCGCUGUCCGA
rnacentral:rRNA from 1 species